GCUGGGAGGCUAGGCCUGUCUCUCUUUUCACGUUUUUCUGCCUGUUUAUAUUCUAGCCGUGCUGGCAGCUGAUUAGAUGACGCCCACCCAGAUUAAGGGUGGAUCUGCCUUUCCCAGCCCAGUGACUCAAAUGUUAAUCUCCUUUGGCAACACCCUCACAGACACACCCAGGAUCAAUACUUUGUAUCCUUCCAUCCAGUGAAGUUGACACUCAGAACUAACCAUCACGCCAUGACAUAGGACAAGUUAUUGCCUGGGACAAAAAUGAGCUCAUAAACAAAGAAGCUUCCUUACAUACAGAUUUUAUAGAUUCCCUAGUAAAAACAACUUCCAAGGUCACCUCAUCCUCCUCCCGGUCCUCUGUCCGCCCCCCACAGCCUGAGCACCCACAUCAUAAAUGGGGAGCAGCUGGUGUCCCAGAUUUUGGGACCCUUCCCUGUCCUUGGCCUCUGAUGCUCUGUGGCUUCUUGGACAUUUGUUUGAUUCACAAACACUGAAGAAUCAGUUUAAUUAGACAUCUUCCAAUUCUAUGUCAAGCCCUUGGAAAUCCCAAGUGUUUAGCAGUUAGGAGGGAGGGUAUAAAGGCUCCUGCUGAGGUCACAGUCUGGGGGCAGGAUUGGGCCGGAGGGGCAGCCUUAGAGAGGAUGCAAUUAGCUGGUAUUGAAAAUAACAGAAGAAAGAAAUCCUCAGGUGCAGGGCCACUCACACACACCUUGACGUAAGGGUCAGCAAACGAGGAAGGAGAAAAAAAUGAGUGAGUUCUCAGAUGUUUAUCAUUAGCAGAAACCCACUGGGUAGGCUUAGAUUAUUAGUGUAACUCAGUGGUACUCACCCUGCACAGAACCAUGAACGGGCACUGCUUCCCAAAAGCAAUGGGUCCAAUCCCAGGGCCCUCUGUCAGUCUGUCCUGAUGCAUGGUUAAAAGUUUAGUAUUGCGAAUCUUUAACUUAGAAAAAUUAAUCAAACUUUGAAAAUUUUUCCUUCUUCCCUCCCUCUCCUUCCUCCCUCUACUGCUUCCCUCCCUCUCCUUCCUCCCUAAGUCCCUCUCCCUCUUCUCUCUCCUUCCUCCCUGUCCUUCCUCCCCUCCUCCCUCUCUUUACUGCCUCUCCCUCCUCCCUCUCCUUCCUCCUCGUCUCUCCUCCCUCUCCUUCCUCCUUCUCCUUCCUCCCUACCUCCCUCUCCCUCCUCCCUCUCUUUCCUCCCUCCCUCUCCUUUCUCCCUUCCUUCUCUUCUUCCUGCAGUUAGGAAGGAAGUGCCAUUACAUGCCAGGCACUGGUAUCAGGACAGGGGAUACAAAGAAAAUGCCUAAUUCAUGCAAGUCAUUUUAGCUUGCACCCAGUAUGUCUUGGAUUGCUAGUUCUGAGAGAGAGGAACCAGCACACCAGGAAGACCCUCAGGCAGCCCCAUGGACAGUUCUGUGCAGAGAGGGACCCAGGCCCCCAGCCAACAGCUGGCAACAAAUGCCACUCAUGUGGAUGAGGCCUUGGAAGUAGAUCCUUCAUCUCAGUCAAACUUUGAUGACUACAGCCUGGCCAACAUCUGACUGCAGACAGGAGAGACCCCAAGCGAGGACUACCCAGCAAACUCUUUCCAAAUGUAUGGCUCAUAGAAUCUGUGUACACGAUAAAGGCCCCUAAGUGCUGGGGUGAUCCAUCAUGCAACAUUCGAUAACUGCAACAGACACUGAGCCCAGUGGUUGGUGCACCAUCAAUGCUCAGACAGUGGUGGCUGCUGUUUCUGUCAAAUAUCAGCAGUUCCAUGUUCUGACAAAUGUCCUAGAUUAUUCCAGGAAGUCGCAUGGCUCCAGGCUCCCUCCACACCCACAGUGCCCCCUGAGGAAGCCUGGCCCCACAGAUGGUGACUGGCGGGAGCCAUCAGACCCCCUGUCUGAUUGAUUGCACUUGAGUCCUAGAGAGGAGGCCACGAGAGAAAGUCACACACGUGAAACUCACACGGGAAACCACAGCCUCUGCACCUCCGCAGGACACGGCACGGUAGCUCAGCCAGAGCCUUGGCGACCUUGGGUGCCCUUCGCGAGCUCCUGCUUCCGGAGCCGGCUCUGCAGCUGUUCUUCCUCCUCUUGUGUCUCUUGUAGCUUAUAAUAAAAAUCUCUCUCUGGGAAUUUCUUUGUUCUUUGAGCAUUUCUUUGUUUCUUGCAGCCUAAAAGAGCCCAUCUCCAACAACAAGGGUCUGGGUGGAGGAAGGGUUAAGGACAUCGUAUUUAGACUCAAAGAGCCCAAUCAAGCCUUCUGCCUGAAUGGGGUGAUUUGUGCAGUUCCUCGGUGAGACAAGAAGCUGCUUCUCUGCUCUGCCUACUAAGAAGGCCUGGAUUUCCAUACAUAAGUAGAUAAACACAACGUGCUGAAGGCAGACAGGGAAAGCAAGAAAGAACACCCUAUUCAUUAACUUCUCCGCUUCCUAAUAGGAUCACCACGGGCUGAGCAACAUUUCUGCCUGAGUACCCCAGCACAAAGCCCUGUCUGGGCCUCAGCCACCUGGUAAUUCUCGAUUAGGCUCCACGGCAGCCCUAACGGCUGGCUGUUGGCUCCUACAGGUAGAGCUUAUUCAACAAGGGGCCCGAGCUGUAUGCCCGGAGAUCACGCAUGCCCAGCCUGCUGGGCCACCGUGGGCGCUGGGCAGUCUCUCUGCAUUUGACCCUUUCAUGAUGCAGCUCCCAGUUCCCUGGGGUGGGGGCUGAGGAGCCUGGCAAGCCAGUGUGGCCAUCCCCACGUUACUCAGCACCACAGGCAGCAGCAUUUUACAGCACACAGGAGGGAGCAAACCUUGCAAAAAUGGAUCGAUAGAGACUGCUUAUUGCAAGAACCUUGAACAAGCACAUGUGUAAGGAUUGAGAAUGCGGUGUAUGAACUGGCAGCCUGUGCCCAGAGCAGCACAGACCUCCCAGGAAAAUGAACAGAGAGCAAAUCGAGGUCCCAGCAGCCCCAAGGCCCUAUCUUCCUGUUUCUGCAAUCACAGAGUCUUCACCUUGCCUUUUGCUCAAAGCACCGGACAUCAACCUGUGGCCCAUUGUCCACAUUUGGCCGUCUGUACCUAGACCUGCACUGAUGGAUGUGGCAUGCUCAGAGGGUGGAGCAGAUUCAGGCUGUUGUCAACAAUGGUUUUGAACUCACUAUCAUGUUCUAAGUUAAAUAUUCCUCCGUGCAUCAUCCACCUGAAUGGUUGUUUUGUGAUCCCUGGAACAAGAAGAUGGAGCUCCAGAUGGCACAACCAGAUAAGCAUCACCCACCCCCGCUCAAGAAUUCUGUUCGAAGUGUGCUUAUUCCCACCUGGGCACACAAUGUACCCACACAAUAAAGCUUGCUGAGGUUGCAAACCUGCCCGAACGUGGGGCUCUCCUACGUGACCAUGCACCUAAAGGGCUCCAAUCCCUCUGCCAAUCACCCUAAGAAGUUUCCAACCUGCUCCAUUUGGCUGAGAAUCCUUUACUGGCUCCCCAUCACCAGUGUGAAUUAAGUCGCACCCCCUUAGCCUUCCUCCAGAGCCUUCUCUGAAUUGACCCAGCCCAGAUUUCACCUGUCAGUCAUUCUUUGAUAUCCUUGUCUGUGAGUCCCUUAUCCUGAAUAUGCUGAGCCCCUACCGAAGGGGCUGCCCACCGUGAGGCAGGAUAGCACCGUGUGGAAGGCACAGGCCUGCGGAUCAGACAGACCUGGACUCUGAUUACUUAAUCUGUUUGAACCUCAGUUUCCUCAUCUAUAAAUUCAAAAUACUCAUCAUCGUCUGUGCUGUGUAGGGUUGGCAAGAGGAUUACACGUCAGUCCUGGAAAGCAGGACUCAAGGCCCAGCAUGCAGUGCACACUAACCACCCAUCGACACUCUAGGGCCCCCCACUCUAAGCAUGCCUACUGUGUGGUGAAGUCACUGCCUUCAUUGCGGUUAUGGCCAUCCUCAUCACUUCUGCCUUUCCCGUGGUGACCUGGACUCCUUCUCACCCCUUCCUGCAUGGCCCCUGCUCACCCCUUCCUUUCCCAGCCUCUACCGGAGGCUCCGAGCUCCAGAUCCUGAUGUAGGGCCAGCCUUGACCAUGUCUGCCUGAGCCUGGAUUGCUGUUCUGUGGCUGGACUUUGUGGGGAUUUGCAACAGCUGAGCCUCACCAUGCCCAGCUCAGAGGCCGUCCUUAGCAUGAGUCCUUUCAUGUGACAUCAUUUAAUUAAGUGUUAUAUUGUGUGGGUCUAUAAAUGUCCACCUGAAUUUAAAUCUGCCAAUAAAACUAAAAAUCUCCUAUAAAAGGAAGACAAUGAUUGUGAGCAGAUAUGGCCAAAUGCCCAUAAAUCAGAAGGGGUGAUGUCUCCAGGCAGAGGCUGGAAUUGGAGUCACUAAGUCAGGUAGGGACCAUCACCCACAGCCAAGGGGCCUUUCUUUCAGAUGCCACUGUGUACAUUUAGGAUGUGAUGAUCUGAAGUGUGGAACAGUCACCCCCACAGUGCACGUAGCUGAGGGCAUGCCAGGAACCUGACGCCAAGCUGCCCAGCCCCACCUGGGCGCUCUUCCUACCGCAGCAGAAGCGAAUGUCGGGCCUAGAGGAAAUCGAGCCUGUCCAUCCAGGGACAAACCCAGGCCUGGUGGGCCCUGUGCGGGAGUUUCCCAGAGGUAACCUGGUACCCAGCCAGGGGCAGGACAAGUAACUGUGCAGGAGUCCCUGAAGGACCAGACGAGGGUGUUUCCCAAAGCAGGGCACACGGAGGCUCCUUCACUCGUGGGUUUCUCACUGGGACCCUGAGAGGUUCUGAGAGCAGGGAGCAUCCCUGGGUAAAGGAGACAUGGUUGCACCUGAAAGAAGGGCGCUGGGCUGUAGAACGCUGCACAGAGGUGAGCCCAGAGCUGAGACAGGUUGCACCUGGGGCCUCUGCCCUGCAGCCCGGGGCCUGUUCUCCUGGGCAAGGCAGCAAACCUUGUAGCGUAGUUCUCUGUGCCCAUCCAGUCUCGAGGUCACAUGUAGAAAACAGCAGUUUUCUAAGAAAAACCAGGCUUCCAGUGGGUGUAAAGCCUUGAGCUCCCAGCUGGUCCAUCAUGGCUCAGACUGGUUUCCAGCACAGUCCCAUGAUGGGCUCAGCUCAGCACCGAGUGUGCACAGAACGCCCACGCAGCAUCUCAGAAAGUGUGGGAUCCAGGACUGACAAGCGUGCCCCAUCUCCCUCCAACCAGGGGUCUGGCAUCCACUCACAGAGGCACUCAGACCCAGGGGACCUGGAAAUGCUAGCCUUUCCUAAUCAACCCCACCUCCCUUCCACCCCACAAUCCCCCCGUCACCUUAACCAUCCCACCAUCCUGGCUCAGGCCCUCUGCCUCCCUGUAGAGCUGUUUAUACCCAUGACUUUCCUCCUCCUGGAGCCUGGUUCCCCAGGACGGUCAGUGCCGCAGACCUCCACCUGCCUCACCCCAGUGGUCUCAGGUGCUUUAUAGGGAGUCUACCCAUCCAAUCUCCCAGCACCUGGCUGAGGAGGUGAUUUCCACAUUCUAAGACACCAGCUGCUGCUCUACUGUGCCAUGAAAUAAGAUGCCAGCAUUUUAAUAAGAGCUUCCUGGGGGUGGGGAAGUAGGGCAUAGAAAUACAAGUCUCUCUUGGUAAAUGGACACAUGCAUUCUGAGACAUCUGACUUCAGAAGCACACGUCUUAGGAUUCAGGAAAUGUGAUAUGGCCCACCUUUUUCAGGAAAGCAGAGAAGGCAGUGACUUGCCCAUUAUGGCUUCAGUGUCACGCCAGGUCACUGUGCAAGAUGCUACUAUUUACGGGAGACUUCCAGGGUCAAUGUGGCUGAGUGGCAGAGCUGGGACAAGACUUGGGGGUAAAGCAGACCCUGGCCAUAAUGCCAACUCCACCAUCUAUAAGCUGCAGGACUGGGGCGAGUCACUUGAACUCUCCCAGCCUCCAUUUGCCCAUAGGCAGUGGGCAAGUGGUCCAGGUUCAAGUUCCUCAUUGCAAUACCCACCUCCAAAAAGCUGUGAAAACUGGAAGUAUUUUUCGAACUCAUUCAAUGAUAAGACCCCACCUGACCUGACCUGGCCUCUUUGGUAACCAAAUCUGACCUGAGCUACCUGCAGUUCUUUAGUCCUUGAUGGAUCAGAUUCCCAAGAAUAUUCAUAUGUUUCAUGUAGAACUGCUAUAUCAGUUGUGUUUGAUUACAGGUGCUGUCCCCAACCCCUGGGGUGCUCCAUGCAGAUCGACUGGGGCCAGGGCCAUCAUCUCCAUCCUAUGGACUCUGAUCAGUCACCUUCCCCUAUUUUCAGGGGUGGUUAACAAGAGCCGGGACUGGCACAGCUCUCUGGGCUCUGGUCACAUGUCCUUUGCUGUCCUACAAACUUUUGGGAGUGUGCUCCGGGAAAUGGUGCCCUGGUGGGGAGGGCUGCUCCUGAGAAGCUCCCAUGGUUUAUUUGGCCACAUGCAGGGGCUCUUGCCCUCUCAAGGGAAAGCACACAGCAGGGAUGAGAGGGCCGAGGGCCAAGUGCCGGAGGUACAAGUCCUGAGACAAGGUCUGGAGUCAAGGGUCGCGGGUCAGGGGAGCACUGGUGUCACGGAGUAACAUCUUCAUGAAGUGACUCUUCCAGAGCAGCGGACGUCAAGGGUGGGGCUGCCUCUGCCUAGGCCAGGGAUUACCCUCUUGCUUCAGACUUGGAACUGAAAACGCUGGGAUUGGCGCCUCCACUGGGGGCCUAAAUCCCCUGUUACUCUUUUUCAAUGCCUUGUCAUCGCUGUCCUGUUUGAUAUUCUUGUCUGUUUCCUUUUGCUGGAACACAAAGGAAAUUUAUACCUCAUUCUUAGAAAAAGGAAAAAAAGAUAGUUGUGCGAUUGUGGGCAGAAAUAGUCAAUUGUCAGCUGUUUACAGGAUGGGGCAUUGGCGGAUUCAGACUGGGACUCCCACCCACUGUGAAGACCCUUGAAAGUGAUACCACUGCAAAGCUAUAGGAGGGCCCCGAAGGAAAAUUCUCCUUGCAAACUGUCCUGCCCCUGAAGCUUUGAUUUCUUUCCUGCUGCUGAUACCGCUGUCUGUCUGUUCCACAUGAGCUCCUCUCUCCUCUGCUCGGCCAUCCUGGACUACACAAAAUCUCACUCCUGCCACAGCCUGAUGCUCUUGCCCCCCACCCCCAAGCACACACACUGCACAACAUACUCAGCACCUAGAUUCUCAGGCUGGGCCAGGAAUAGGGCCUGAGUCUAUGGGGUUCCCAUCAGCAUCUUCAUGGGGGGAUCCUACAAAAACAGCCAUCCACAGCUCUUUGCCCAAAUAUAUAGGAAGUGACUUCUUUUGUGCCUUCUCACCAAAGGGUGGCAUCAGACUAAUAUGGGUUUUGUUUGCCACAGCUUUCUAUCAAAAGACCUUGGGCAAGUUCCAAAUACCUCCAUCCUCAGAAGAGCUAUAUAUUAAGGAUUUCUGUAUAGUAAAUUAUCGCUAGAUGCAUUGGCUGCAAAAACAAGCAUUUGUCACCUCACAGAGUCUGUGGUUCAGGAAUCUGAGUGUGGCUUUGCUGUGUACUGCUGCCUUAAGUUCAUUCACUUUCAAGAUGUUGGGCUGGGCUGGGUCUCAUCUGAAGGUUGGGCUGUGGAAGGAUUGACAUGGCUGUGAGCAGGAUUCAGUCCUCUAUGGGCUGGCAGUCUGAGGGUGUCACUCCUCUGUCACUGCAGCCAGAUGUCUCUGCCUGUUCCUGGCCCCAUGAGUCCCUUCACAGGCUCACAACCUGGCAGCUCGCUCCCCUCUGAGUGAACAAGGGAGGGAGAGAGUGAGACAGAAGUCACUGUCCUUUGGUAGCCUCAUUUCAGAAGUGACAUUCCAGCAGUUUUGGCCACAUUCUGUUUAUUAGAAAGAAGUCAAUAGGUGCAGUCUGUACUCAGGGGAGGAGCUUACACAAGGGCUGAGUUCCAGGAGGGGGUUAUCCCUGGAGUAAUCUGAGAGCCACCUACUCAUGCCAACUGCAUGUAUUUCAAGAGACACACACUUACACAGAGCCGCACAUAUACACAUGGCUUCUGGACACACUGUAAGAACCCAAUAAAUGGCAACUAACUUUUCUUAAUUACUAAGACCAAUUAACAUUUGACUAUUAUUCACCUGCCAGUUUAAGGUCCUUGAAACAAACUCAUUUUUUAAAGUAGGGGCAAAAUGUCUGUGGUUUGCCAGUUUGGCCACUGAGUCAUCAUCUGACCUGAGCAGGUGCUCUCUGGCCCUCGGCAUCCACACCUCGGAGAUGCAAGGCUGCUCUGUCCUCUCACCUGCAUGCAUGCUGGACUGUGUGCCUUUUCCUGUAACCUGGCCAGACUUCACUGGCCCCCAGCUUAGCCCAGGUCCCCAGCUCUGGUGGCCUUCACUGGUCCCUGUUCAGAGAGGAGAAUCUUGAUUCUACAACUCUUGGCUCUUCCCAGGACCACAUGACCUUCCACACCACCUCACUGUGUCCCAUGGAUCAUCUUCCUCCUGCUACCAACUGAGGUCCUUACAGAGGAGGCUGGUCAUAUCCCCCAGGGGCCAGCAACUCCCACAGUGCCUGCACAGGGCGGUAUUCAGAGGACACUUGCUGGCCUGGAUGCAGGCUGAGAAGAGAUCACACCUAAGGUCAGCAUGCUGCCAUCCAGGAUGGGGGAGGAGACUGGUCCUUCUGGGAAGAGCAAGUAGUUCUGUGUGGCUGGAGCAUGAAGACCUGACCCAGGUCAUCUGGGGCACUGAAGGAACUCUCCAUUCAUCCUGGGAGUAUAUGGAACUUUGGCAGCUGAUCCUCUCUAGCCUGCAGCCAGGGCCAAGCUGAUAUGUGUGUGUCAACAACAGGAGUGAACAGUUCCUCGGUGCUCACCACAGGCCAGGCUCUGUUCAGCAUUUGGCAUUUUUAAUCAAUUUGAUUCCCACCACAGCCCUAGGAGGUAAAUGCAAUUAUUAUCCUCACUCCGUAAGUGAGGAAACUAGAGCACAAAGGGGUUUGAUGAUGCAUUCAAAGUCACAGGGCCAAGAAGUGAUAGAGUCCAGGUUUGAUCCAGGCCCAGAGUCCUAAGUGCUCUGUGAUUUUUCCUGAGGAUGACACAACCAAGUCCUGCUGCAAGGCCUGGGAAGGCCAGCCUUGGAGAGGAUGGUACAUAGGAAGCACCUUCACUGGUCUAGUUAGAAAUAGGAGACAAAACGAGAGGAUGAGGCCUCAGAGAAGAUGGGGAUUUGGGAAUGACUGACAGGACAUGAAGGAGGUUAGGAUGGACAGGAUCUGGUGGCCACUUAGCUGGGCAGGCACUCAGAUGAGUGUCUGUGAAGAGCAGGACAGCAUCUGUCAGAGGCUGUGCCGCCAAGUCUGUUCCUGAUGUUCCUGACCACGUGAUUUGAAGUCAAAGGGUCCAUUAGUAGCCACCCAAAUGCAUUCAUCUCACCCACUGCCCAGGUAGAGCUGAUUUAUCAGGAGAAGGGAAUUGCAAUCUGUAUUAGUCUGUCCUCACUGCUAAUAAAGACAUACCCACAUUUCUGAGACUGGGUAAUUUAUAAACGAAAGAGGUUUAAUUGACUUACAGUUCC
rnacentral:lncRNA from 1 species